rnacentral:rRNA from 1 species
AAUAGAUACCCGGGUAGUCCACGCCCUAAACGAUGUCUACUAGUUGUCGGGUCUUCAUUGACUUGGUAACGCAGCUAACGCGUGAAGUAGACCGCCUGGGGAGUACGGUCGCAAGAUUAAAACUCAAAGGAAUUGACGGGGACCCGCACAAGCGGUGGAUGAUGUGGAUUAAUUCGAUGCAACGCGAAAAACCUUACCUACCCUUGACAUGGUCGGAACCCUGAAGAGAUUCGGGGGUGCUCGAAAGAGAACCGAUACACAGGUGCUGCAUGGCUGUCGUCAGCUCGUGUCGUGAGAUGUUGGGUUAAUCCCGCAACGAGCGCAACCCUUGUCAUUAGUUGCUACGAAAGGGCACUCUAAUGAGACUGCCGGUGACAAACCGGAGGAAGGUGGGGAUGACGUCAAGUCCUCAUGGCCCUUAUGGGUAGGGCUUCACACGUCAUACAAUGGUGCAUACAGAGGGUUGCCAACCCGCGAGGGGAGCCAAUCCCAGAAAGUGCAUCGUAGUCCGGAUUGCAGUCUGCAACUCGA